UCUGAUUUGAUGAGUGUGUUCUUCUUUUUG
rnacentral:piRNA from 1 species